GAUGAACGCUGGCGGCGUGUCUAAUACAUGCAAGUCGAGCGAACGGACGAGAAGCUUGCUUCUCUGAUGUUAGCGGCGGACGGGUGAGUAACACGUGGAUAACCUACCUAUAAGACUGGGAUAACUUCGGGAAACCGGAGCUAAUACCGGAUAAUAUUUUGAACCGCAUGGUUCAAAAGUGAAAGACGGUCUUGCUGUCACUUAUAGAUGGAUCCGCGCUGCAUUAGCUAGUUGGUAAGGUAACGGCUUACCAAGACAACGAUGCAUAGCCGACCUGAGAGGGUGAUCGGCCACACUGGAACUGAGACACGGUCCAGACUCCUACGGGAGGCAGCAGUAGGGAAUCUUCCGCAAUGGGCGAAAGCCUGACGGAGCAACGCCGCGUGAGUGAUGAAGGUCUUCGGAUCGUAAAACUCUGUUAUUAGGGAAGAACAUAUGUGUAAGUAACUGUGCACAUCUUGACGGUACCUAAUCAGAAAGCCACGGCUAACUACGUG
rnacentral:rRNA from 1 species